CGGUAACUCCAGCUCCAAUAGCGUAUACUAAAGUUGUUGCAGUUAAAAAGCUCGUAGUUGGAUUUCUGCGGGGACGGAGCGGCCGGACGCAACUUGCGUCUCGAGCUAGCGCUUUCCCCGCAUCCUGCCGCGAACCGUGCUACCAUUAGCUUGGUGGCGCUGGGGAUCGGCUCGAUUACUCUGAGAAAAAUAGAGUGUUCAAAGCAGGCCACACGCCUUGAAUAAGGUAGCAUGGAAUAAUGACUAAGGACUUUGGUUCUUUUCGUUGGUGUUCGGGACUGAAGUAAUGAUUGAUAGGGACAGUUGGGGCGGUCUGUAUUCCAAAGCGAGAGGUGAAAUUCUUAGACCUUCGGAAGACAAACAGCUGCGAAAGCGUUCCGCAAGGAUGUUCCCUUUGAUCAAGAACGAAAGUUGGGGGAUUGAAGACGAUCAGAUACCGUCGUAGUCUCAACUAUAAACUAUACCAGCUAGGGAUCGGCCAACGUUUAAUUAUUCGACUUGGUCGGCACCUUAUGAGAAAUCAAAGCAUCUGGGUUCCGGGGGGAGUAUGGUCGCAAGGCUGAAACUUAAAGGAAUUGACGGAAGGGCACCACCAGGCGUGGAGCCUGUGGCUUAAUUUGACUCAACACGGGAAAACUUACCAGGUCCAGACAUAGGAAGGAUUGACAGAUUGAUAGCUCUUUCUUGAUUCUGUGGGUGGUGGUGCAUGGCCGUCUUUAGUCGGUGAAGUGAUUUGUCUGCUUAAUUGCGUUAACGGACGAGACCCCAGCCUGCUAAAUAGCGCGGCCGAGCUUUGCUCGGUGCGAGCUUCUUAGAGGGACCAUGAUGCGCGAUAGCACAAGGAAGUUUGGGGCAACAACAGGUCUGUGAUGCCCUUAGAUGUUCUGGGCCGCACACGGGCUACACUGGCGCCUGCAACGAGCAUAUCAGCUGGCCCGAGAGGGUCUUGGCUAAUCUUUGGAACCGGCGCCGUGCUUGGGAUUGACCAUUGCAAUUGUUGGUCAUGCAACGAGGAGUGCCUUGUAAACGCGAGUCAUCAGCUCGCAUUGAAUACGUCCCUGCCCUUUGUACACACCGCCCGUCGCUCCUACCGAUGAAUGUUCCGAUGAAAUUUUCGGAGAGCGCCGGGGAACGGGGCUCUGCCCUGCAGAACUGGAGGCUCAAAGUCACUUAAAUCUGAACAUUUCGAGGAAGGAGAAGUCGUAACAAGGUAACC
rnacentral:rRNA from 1 species